GGGCUUGUGAUGUUGAAUCAAUAUUUAUCUUAGUGGAUUUCGGCGAGUCUCAUCAUCAAUGAUCUGAUUGUUACACACACUGAAGCCC